UUUCUUUAAUCGUUAAGAGUUUCAAUUUUUCCAUAGAUCCCUUACUCGACGUCGCUCGACUCCCUUAGUUCCUCUACUCAGUCACGUCCUUCCUUCCUUCCUUCCUUUCCAUGACUCAUUGUAAUUUCAAUUUCUCUAUAGAUCUCUUUAACCACUUUCACCUGGCUCCCGUAUCGUGCUUCAAUUCCAGGCAAGCUCUGUCAUUUCACUUCUUGACCUUCAGGCACUCUGCUUCAUUCUGGUUUGUCAAAUCAUUAUUGUUAAUGACCAUUCUUUGAUUAUAACAUCAAAUCAAAGUUCUUGUUUUCAGGAAGUAGUCUAAAUUACCUUUUCUACAAUUUUCUGAAGUCAAACCGUCAUGUUUUUCAUAGCAGACGUGAGGAUUAAGUUUCAUAAGCUUUCCUCAUCUCAUUGGUUUUUAUCUUUUAACUUCUCUUUUAAUGGUUCGGAACCCAAAAACUUUGCCUUCUAUCGGUGCUCUGUCGGCGAUUUCUUCUGCAGUCUCCCAAGGUGAUGUGAAACUUUAUUCGACUUCUACUAUUCUUCUGUUGCUCUUCCUCUACUUUGUUAGUUCAUAGUAUAUGGUUGGUAGUAGUGAAACCUAACUUUUGAAUAAUUUGUACUUUCUAUUUUAUAAUUGUGAAACCUACCUUUUAGCACUUGCUUUUAAGGUGAGCAAAGCCAAUAUAUUGAUGAUAACCAGUUCCUUCUAAACCACCCUGGUGCAGUGCCCAUCACCACGGCUCAAGUAUAUGCUGCUGCUUUUAUAUGUGCCCAUUAUUCUCGUAAAUCCCUGGAUGCAUAUAAAAUAAAGUAUGUCGCAUUAUAUUCCAUUUAACUAACUAAUUAUGACUUCUUCAUGUAGAAACUUGAAGUCACGCUGGGUGCAAAUUCAUUUUGAUAGAUUGAUAUGAUUUCCAGUAAUUAUAAUUAUAAAUAGCUUGAGAGAAUUGCAAUCACAUACUGCCACGAAUGGGCUUGAUUUUAAGGGGCUUGACCCUGUAGGGGUCCAGAAUCAAAUUACUAAUGAUGGGUUACUAGAGAAUGUUGAGUCAACUAAGAAAGUUGAGGCUUACGACUGUUCACGUGAGGAGGACAUGCAAGACCAAGUGCCUACCAUGCCAACGGUGCUACGUAGAAGCAACCGCUCAAGGAGAAUCACGAGGAAGUUGAGAAAGGUUAGGGAGGGAUAGGAAAGUUAUAUAAAGAGGCUGACGAUUUGUUAGAGUGUGUUCUUUUUGAGUGAUUGAUUCUUCUUUGUUAUCCCACAAGUUUUCUCCCUUCUGUAAUUCUCCUCUCUUUCUUCUGUUUUCUCCUCUCUGUGACUGAACUUCUCAUAAAUAAUACCUUGAGCUGGAUGAUAUUCUAUUGUUUUUGUUAUUUUAAUUGCAUGAGAUGUGACAGAAGGUGCUUUUGUUGAGAGUUAAAUCACUGCCAUGGUAGAAAAUACAUGUUUAUGCGAGCUAACCAAUGACGUGAAGAAUUUAGGUAGUGACCUCCAGAGCAUACGGGAAUGUGUAGAACGAUUGGAGAAUGCUAACAAUGCUGGGAUGGAAUGCUUGGAGAUAGCUUUUGGAGAUUUGGCAUGACAUCUUUCCCUGCAAAAGGAUGCGAUGGACGUUCUAGCAGACAUAUUGCUUAUAGCUCCCAACCCGAGAAUUGAGAAGAUAAAAACGCAUCUAGAAGUUUUGAAGUGGAUGACGGACAAUUUGAAUCGUAACAAUCCGCUAGGCACUGGUUUUGGCAAAAAUUCUUUAUCAAAUCAUAACCAAAAUUAUGGCGCUCCUCAACACCAGGUAAAAAUAGAUUUUUCGCAUUUUGAUGGAACUCACCCAGCUUGAUAUUUCAUGCAGAACAAUAUUUUUCCCUCUAUCAAAUGACGGACCCACAACAUAUUAUCAUGGCUUCGGUGCAUAUGGAGGGAGCCGCAAUGCCAUGGUUCCAAAUGAUGUUAAAGUCAAAUCAUAUAACUACCUGGGCAAGUCUCACCAGAGCAGUGGAGAUACAGUUCAAACUAGCCCAAUUUGAACACCCUCAUUCACAGUUGUUCAAAUUUACCCAGACGGAUAUGCUGGAGGCAUAUCAUCAGCAAUUUAUGACCCUGGCCAACUGUAUAGAAGGAAUUUUAGAUGAGGCAUUACUGGAUUGUUUUGUAGGAGGGCUUAAGCCUGAGCUAAGAAGGGAGAUAAAGGGAAAGCGGUGAUGACUGAAAGUAGUGGAAUGAUGCCGUUGAGCGUAAGAUUGCUCACUACAGUGCCUGCUUCAUCUCACACCAGUCACAUUAAUUCAAUGCCAUCAAAGAACUCAUCGAUGUUGCCAUCAGAUGUGAGAAAGGAUUAUCUUAUACGUGUGAUGAGAAAUUCACAUCGACUCACAAGUAUGCCAAUUGUCAAUUCAUGUGGUUGCAGAUUGAUGAAGAGUAAGACGUCCCAAAACUACCUCUUCCACCCUAAAAAGACCCACCAAGGGAUGUAACGGCCACAUGCCAUCAUAUUUCUUUGUAGGCUUAUAACGGAACAGGGGGUAAUACUACCAUUCAUUUUUCCAGUCAAAUUAAUGGAGCCACGGUGCAAGUUUUGCUUGACGAUGGCAUUUCUGAUAGCUUUGUACAUCCACGAAUAGUACAUCAUCUCAACCUACCCGUGGAGCCAGUUCAUCUAAUACGGGUCUUCGUAGGGAAUGGGCAAGUUAUGAGGGGUAUGGGCCUGGUUCGAGUAUUACCUAUAACCAUUAAUGGACAUAUGAUCCACAUUUUAGCUUGUGUUAGAGACAACAGGGUUAGAUGUUGUAAUUGGGUCUUCAUGGUUGGCUACAUUGGGGCCCCAUGUAGCAGAUUAUAGCAAUGCUUCAAUUAAAUUCUUAGACUAGAGAACUUUGUGACUUUGAAUGGACUUUCUCAAGUCCCUUGUACAAUGGCCCAAUUCCAUCAAUUCCAUCAUUUAUAAGAUGCAGGAGCUGUCAACUCUGUAUUUUUUCUUCAACUAAGGUCCUCGAUACAAAGACACAUGUGGAAGUAGAUGAAGUCCCACCUGAUCUUGAGGCACUUUUAGCAGAAUGUCAUUCAAUUUUUGAUAGCCCACAUAGCCUUUCCGGUCCCACCACACGAGUGCGAUCAUAGAAUCAUUCUUCAACUUAGGACGGGGCCAGUGAAGAUUUUCUUACUCAAGUGAAUGAGGACCAAUAUUAAUAAUAGGUCUAGAAGCUUCGACUUUUUGUGAAGAGAGGAUGACAUUUAAGGUGAUCUCAAGGUUGUGAUGAAUUGUUUUAAUGCCACCAAAGUUUUGUUCCAUUUGAAUUCUGGUCUUCUGGAUUACUUUAAGAAGACUUUGAAGCGCAGGCGACUUAUGGUGUAUCCAGCAGAGCCGCCUUCGUACACGAGAGCUUGUAUUUCCCGUCAUUUCAGUUCAUUGUUAUUUCAGAUUAAGAUUUUCUAUCCAGAAUGGUAGUCAACAUUUCUCGUUAAAUUGUUGAUGAUGGUGUUUUGUCCUCGUUAAUUGAAUGUUUUAUCCCCGUUAA